UACGUAGGGUGCAAGCGUUGUCCGGAAUUAUUGGGCGUAAAGGGCUCGUAGGCGGUCCAUCGCGUCGGGAGUGAAAAGCUGGGGCUUAACCCCAGUCCUGCUUCCGAUACGGGUGGACUAGAGGUAGGCAGGGGAGAACGGAAUUCCUGGUGUAGCGGUGAAAUGCGCAGAUAUCGGGAGGAACACCAGUGGCGAAGGCGACUUCCUGGCCUGUUCUUGACGCUGAGGCGCGAAAGCUAGGGUAGCAAACGGG
rnacentral:rRNA from 1 species